rnacentral:misc_RNA from 1 species
AACGCACCUUGCGCUCCUUGGUAUUCCGAGGAGCAUGCCUGUUUGAGUGUCAUGUAUUCAUCAACCCAUUUGGAUUAUUUAUUUUUUCUGAAUGGAGUUGGUUGUGGAGGUUGCUGGCUUUGUAAUUAAUGUCUGCUCCUCUUAAAUGCAUUAGUGUGAAUGUUAUCAAAUGUUCCCCUGUGUAAUAAUUUAUUUGCACUGUUGGUACUUUGGUGGAUUAUAUAUUCAUGCUUCUAAUAGUCCUUCAUUUGGACAAUAUUUACUUUUGCAUUUGACCUCAAAUCAGGUAGGACUACCCGCUGAACUUAA